CUGAACAAGGCAUCACAGCUAUGUUUUGUGUUUGUAUGGCCAGGCUGGAUAUUAGGAAAAGCAUUUCAUAGAAAGAGUGGCGAGGUGUUGGCACAGGCUGCCCAGGGAGCAGUGGAGUCACCAUCCCUGGAGGUCUGUAGAAUGAAGAUAAAAUGCUGCUCAAAUUGCUGGGGAGCUCAGAGCCCAAUUAAGAAGUACACAAUAAUUAAAGCGAGCUCCUGUUCAUAUCCUGUACCCCUCGGUGGGGCACUGGAAGCCCUGGGAUGUGGGAGUGCAAGGUUGCAACAGAAACAAAACAAUACACUCUAAGACUGCUCACCAGAAAGUGGAUCCAUGUGUUAAUCUGGGAAAAGGAGCAUGAAAAUAACUGCAAAUCCUUCACAACUUUAUUGUAAUUUCUCACAGAUAGGACGUGGGCAGGAAAAACACCCGCUCUGCACUCAAGCCUCCCUGGUUCUGGGUGGCCCCACGCAAAGGGCCAGGCUAUGUUAAACAUGGGGCUGGUGCAAGAACAGAUGGAAAUCUUGGGGGAAGAGGUAAAUGGCUGCACUGCAUGGGGUGAUUGGCUCCUUGGUGCCUGGGCUGGCCCCUGGCCCGGCUGCACGCAGGAGACACGCGGGUGGCACGGCACUGGCAGUGCCUUGGCCAUCAGCACGGCCCCGUGCACCAGCGUCUAUGGACACAGAGACCUGGCCCCUCCCGGCUGCCCAGCUGCCUUUCUGCUAAUGCUCAUCUAAUUAACCAGCAGCCUGGAGUGGCUGAAACCAGGACAGCGGGAGAGCGAAGGUUUUCAUCCAAUAGGUUCCUGUCUCCAGCUCGAGAACCAGAAGAAAAACCCUUUUCAUAUGUUCUGAUCAAUAAGCAGGUGGUGUUCCCCUCCCCUCCCUUCCACCUUCUCCAACUCUUCUUUCUCCUCCCGGGCCAGAGACGCUCAUCAGAGCCUGCCCCUGUGCGGGGCUGGGAUCUGUACCCGGGGCAUUCUGCAGCUCUUGCUUUGUCCCGGGGCUGCCGUGCGUGCCAGAGCACACGCGCUGCGCAUCGGAGCGACACCAGCACGCUGGGCACAGCACAGUGAGCUCCCAGGGGGUAUCUGAGAGAGCAAGCCUUGGCAAUAAGUGGGGCAGGAUCCCCCCUCUGGGGGGUUUUUCAAUCAGUGACAUCUCUGAAGAGACAGUUGCUUUCCCCCCCCCCAUUGUCAGCAAAGCUACAGGACUGUGAACACGGCAGAAUCUGACCAGCAACUUUUGUACUGCAUAGGUAUCGGCAAGGGUUAACAAGAAGCAACAUUUUGUUUUGCUGUGCAUCUUCGGUCUCUGGAAGGAGCUGCUUCAGCUGGUGUACAUGCAUUCUUCUUCCUAAGGUGUCUUCUGAAAAUUAGCUCCAGCAUGUCAUCAGUGGUGGAGAAAUGAUUAUGGAAAAGCAGCUGUCCAUCCCCUCCUGCCAACUCCCAGCGAGACAGCGGGAGGGGGAACGGCUCCUCUGGGUGCUGGCUGCUGGCAGCAGCUCCCAUGGUGCCUGGUGCCAGGCACUGGUGUACGGAAGCAGCUUGGAGCUCUGGCCUUUUCCACCUCAUCUCAAUGAACUGGCUGAGAAGUGGCCAUGCAGUGCCCAAACUGGUGUUCAUCUUCAGGCCACCUCUAUCGACUGGAAGGGGCUUUAAUAACACCAACGGUGCAGCAGGAGCUGUGGAAGAUGCUGGCAGGAGACGCAGUGCUGUCUCAGCACUGUCAGUGUGCAGAGCAGGGACAUUUUGGAGGGGCAGAGAGGCCCUGCAUGUGUCCCUGUGGCUUCUCACAGAUGAAUCCCAUCUGCCCAGGGGGCAGCUGUCAUGGGAAGGAUCUGCAGAGGGAGCUGAGGGUCUCCCGCUGCUCCUGGCCCGAUGCUGUCACUGAACGUUUUUUUUAACAAUAAGAAAGUUGUGCAAAUCUUUGCCCAACCGUCAGCUUGCUCAUGCAGCCUGGCAGGGCUCUGCUUUAACUUCUGUAUUGUUUCUCCCCACAGGAGAGGAAUUACUGUCCUAUUUCUUCCUGCCAGAGUGAGGGACUGGAAACAGGCUGAAGGGGAGAGGAGCUAGAUGGGUGUCCCAGAGACCUUACAGACUCGGAGGAAGAUGAGCCAAGCUUAGUAGAUUCCUGUCACUCUGCCCCUUCCCUGGUACCUCUGACACCAAUUAGGAGCUGGGCUUAUUAGCUGUGCUCCUGCACCAGCCUCCAAACGCCACCGAGCAGCACCUGAGUCUGGUGCAGAAUGUAGUGUCUCAGGAUGCUGUAGCCAAGAGGGAGGUGAGUCUGCACCUGGUGGUGGGGAGCCUGGCCGCAGCCAGAUGUGAGCUCCUUCCCAGCGCUCCCCCCUUCCCCUUGCCCUAGCCUCAGGCCAAACAGGGAAAAUCCUUCAGCAGAACCCCAGCUGGGGCUGCUCGCUGCCUUUCCAUAGCAACAGUCCAUCAGGGGGUCGGAGUCAGCAGCGAAAAAUGCUUCCUAGCUUUGCCUGCUGGUCGCUAUUUUGAUUGCAUUCCUGGGGAGCUGGGCUGCAGAUGUGGUGUCCUUAUCUUGGGAAGGUCUGAGUCAGUUUUUCCCUGUGUGAUGGAGCAGGCAGCUGAGGUCUGGAAGGAGGAAUAAAUAGCUUCCAAGGCAUGCUGCGGGUGUUGUUUGCUGGGGACAAAGUGGUGGUUCCAUCCUCCAUCCUGAGAUGUCCCUGCAGAGCAGACUUCAGACAACCCUGAUGCCUUGGCCAAAGGAAAAGGAGAUCAGGAGUGCUGCUCCAGGGAAGACCUGAGGAACAUGCCCACAGGAGAGGCACCACCAGCACGUGUUCAGGCUGUAUGACACUCCUCAACACACCAGCAGAUGUGGCAGCUCACAAGCUGGUUCCCUCCUGCUCAGCCUGCCAGUUCUUGAAGAAUUGGGAGCUGUGUGGAGCAGUGGCGGUGAAUGCUGCUCUGUUGGAAACUGUCCUCUUCACUUCUUCAAACGCAAGCAAAUAAGAAGCGAUUGUAAUGCUAGCUGCUGUCUCCAGAUCAAAAGUUUGCAGCUCGGAUCUGCUCCCUCUGCAUGGAUACGCUGUGUGGCUGUCAAGACAAGAGACCAAAGGUGGCAGAUAGGGUCCAAAGUGUGGUCUGAGCCCCUUUGCGAGGAAGCUCUGCUGAGGUCCUUUCUGUAUUUUUCCAUUCCUCCUUGUUGCCGAUGUCAGGGCUGAAGCACUCCGAGCUGAUGUUGCAGGAUGAGGUGCUGGCUCACUCUGACUGCCCUGACCCAAAGGGUCUCCAGAAAGCUGUGCUGAUCGACAGCUGCACAGCUACUGGGAGUAGAAAUUGGGGAGCAGAGGGCAAGGGCCAGCGUGUGCCAGGGCUCAGAGGGCAGCACACAGACCCGGGGCUUCUGCUCUUGCUUUGUCCAAAUCCCUUGUGUCUAUACCAGCACUGUAAAGCAUAGAUGUGGCCCCUUCUGGGGCUCCAGGAACCCCAGAAAUCAAAGUUCCCUUCAAGACCUGAGGCUCAGCAUCCUGUGUGCCUCAGUGGGCUCAACCUAGGUAGUUUUGUGCCUAAACAGAAGUCACCUGAAAAUAUGUUGUCCUCAGAGCUUGUCCAAGGUCAGGGAGGAAGCUGGUGACAGAGCCAGGAAUCAGAUCUGCCUUCCUGUCCCACCUGUCCAGCCUUCCGCUCCAGCCCCUCUGCACACACCCAUCCCAUGUCAUUCCUCACUGUCUGCCCGUAAUUUGGUUGUUCGCUGCUCUUUAUACUCUGGAGUGCAUAUCGUUGGUGUAUAUCUAUGUCAUAUUUUCUCAAAAAUCUAUUAAAUUCUCUUCAUUGCUCCCAGGACAUAAAGGGAAAUAGUGGCUGAAGGAUGCUUUCUGUAUGAGUAUGAAAUAUCGUCUAAUUAGCAAGCAGAGACGGCCACAAGAUGAGCAGAGAGAGGUGUGCAGGUUCCUUUAGGUUUGUCCACAAUGUGAUUUUCUGGUGUCACAUCAUUUAGAAGCACAGCAAGUUCAGCAUGUGGCAGCUUCCCUAUCCUUGGCUGGAGACUGGAGGGCUGCAGCUGUGGGUUGGGGUGCCGUGGGUGUGGGGGCUGAGCGGUGAUGACUUUGUCAUCCCAUUAUCUGGGUGCAAACCCAAAGGGGAGCCUGGGAGGGUUCCCCAGAUCUUCCCACUUCAUUUGUAUUGAUGAAGAGUGGAAGCACAUCCCAAAGUUUAUCUGGGAAGCCCGCAUCUCUGCAGCUUUUCUAAUUAUCCAUCCCCCCACUGUGUUUGUUCUGUUCUCCCCAACAAUUCCUCCUUUUUGCUGGCAGCAGCCAAUGCCGUGAACCACGGAGAGCAGCUUCACAGUGCUCCCGCUCAACCUGCAGCAGGGAUCUCUGAAAAUAGCUGGUGCGUUUGCCCUUUUGCAGAGAGCACCCAGGGAUGAGGAUUUUGCAACUCAGCUUGCAGUGUGGAGCGGGGCGUGGGGGGUUUUGCUACGGCUGCAUUUUUAUCGAUGCGGGUUGUUUGCACAGUGUGCGAAUCCCUGGUAGCAGCCAGAGCACGGCAGGUUCCUCUGCACCGAGUUUCAGAAUCCCAUGGCCACCAUCCAGACAGCCCCACAGCAGCUCUGUGGGGUCGCGCUGCCCACCUCUUCCUUUCCCCUACAUUUUCCUGGGGAAACCCCGCUCGUGGCUGCAGGGGAUGGAUGCAGAGACCCCAGCGUGAAGCAGUCUUCCUUGCAGGGGAUUUGACACCUGAAUAGCUGGGUGAUGUCUAGGAGGAAUUAAACAGCGCUGAUUUUAUCUCAGAUGUCAAUCUGGAAGAUUAAGGACUUUUUCUUGAGGGAUAGAGGAUGGUGGUAUUUUAGGGGCAUAUAAACUUUGAAAAUACCCUGUGGCAUCUAUGUUAAUGCAUCUUCCUGCAUUAUUAAAAUUCCUUACAGACUUCCAAACAACUCACAGUUUGGGCUCUAAAAUGCUGGUACAGGCAGAUCUGUGUGGGGGCAAAGCUCGGUGACUCCGUGCGCUCGGUGCUAUAAAGCAGACGCUCUCCCCUGCCUUCUUGCAGCCUUACAUGCUGCAGGCAGUUCUCUGCUCACACCCGAACCCACCCGCUUCUCGCUCAUCCCACUCCUUUGACUCCCAGCUCUGGAGCUGUCUCGGGCUCUCGGCACGUCCGAUGCCUCGGCUGCCAGGAGUUUGCUCUCCAACUGCUUCCCGGCCCCCUCGUGCAUGUGGGCACGGAGGGGGGGGGCCGUGGGAGCGGGGAAGGAUGAACAGCAGGAGAGUCUUCAGGGAAGGGAUGGGGGAAGCAAGAAGGGGGGAGCAGAAGUGAGAACAGGGAGGAGGAGGGAGAAAGGAUGCUGCCUUGUCUGUUCUCAGAUUUUAUAUUGGUUGAAUCGCACUGGGUUAGUUAAAACUGGUGCAGAGCUGCCUUCCCCUCCCCUUUCCUCCAGGCAGGCACUUGCAUUUGGGGUUGAAUGCCUUAAUUCACUUCAGCUUCAACCUGCUCCUGAUUGACUUGCACCACAUGGAAAGAAGCUCAGCUUCCCAAGCAAGCAGCAGCAGCGGUUGCAAAAUUGCACCUUAAGUUAAGUCAGUGUGAUUGUGUGCAUAAAGAAACCUUGAGCCUGGUGCAGACGUGUGCGGGGAUAACUGCAAAGGGCUUGUGCUGUGCAGUUCCGAGUCUGGGCUGUUCUUUUUGGCUUGGCUUUGGGCUGAGCAUGUUGGGGCUCGGGGCCAAGGAGCUUUAUGUCAGUGGGGUUCGGCUGUCAGUAGAUUUGCUGUCCCCUCUGAGUCCUCUCUGCUCCAUCCCUCUUCUCCCACUGCAGAUGUCUGCUAUAAAAAAGAAAAAAAGCCUCCACAAACGGCGUGGUAACAUUUUUACUGGAGGGCUGUUUCUGCUGCACAUCUGAUGCAUAUGACAGGGUCAGAUUAACCCAGCCUCUGCUUUCCAACCACAGCUAUUUGAAAGCACCAAAAACAAUGCAAAACAAACCGGAGGAACUCUGCCAUCCUGGCGAGGAGCUGGCAGGCUCUGGGGAUGUGCGAGCUGCAGGGAUGCACCCACCUGGUGCUCAGCAGGGCCAGAUGCUCGAUGAGGAGGAUGAGCUCUUAGUUUGGCAGUGAAUCUGGUCUCAAAGUCGGCCUUUCAGAGGACCAGUGGCUUUCCUUGGUACUUAAGGUUGGGACUUACAAAGAGCAAAAGGAGAGCUGUGAUAUUAAGUGGAACAAAGCAUCUAAUGCUGGGGGAUGCUCUCAAAACCCUCCUCUUCCUGGAGGAUGGCUCUUUUGUCACUGUGGAUGGGCUGUUUGAACCGAGGGCAGGAGUCUUUCUUCCUUCCUUGCCCUCUCCUUCCAGUUCCUCUGCACCUUCCAGGAUCAUUUUGGCUUUGCUACAUUUCUUUCCACUCUCUUUUUUUAAUUAUAUAAGCAGUGAUUUUCUCGUGGUUCUGGCACAGCUAGUGUUUUAAUUAGACAUCUAGCCUUCUCUGGUUAUUGGUGCUAGAAAACAGGGCUGGAAGGGACCCCUGGAGGCAGAUGUACCCCUGUGACAGAGCAAGUUAAGUCUGAAUGGUGCUUUCUUAGAGGGUGGUGACGCCCUGGCACUGCUGCCCAGGGAAGUGUGGGUGCCUUAUCCAUGGAGGUGCCCAAGGCCAGGCUGGAUGGGGCUCUGGGAAGCCUGAGCUGGUGGGUGGCAACCAGCAAGGGUUGGAACUGGGUGAGCUUUAAGACCCUCUUUGCAAUAGAGAGGUGUUUAGGGUCCUUGUGGCAGGUGAUGCUGAAGGGACAGUGAUACCAAGGGCAAGGGAAAGAAGAAGAGUGUGGGGACCCCGAAAGCUCCACUCCAUAAAACCUCUCCAAAAAAAAAAAAGAAAAAAAAAAAACAACCCCACUCUACCCUGUCCCUCACUGGGGCUGGGGCCCCUAUCUGUGACCCCUCAGCCCCACUGCAUGGAGUGGUUGCAGAGCAGCCCCAUGAAUCCCUGCUUGGUGAGGGGAGGACUGGCCAGCAGCCUCCUAGGACAGGGACUGGCGUGGGCACUGAACGAAAAGCUGAGGUGAGAAGGGGCGGGGGGGGGGGGAAGCCCCCAAAAACACCUAUGGAGAGGGAAGCAGAGUUGGAGCGGAGCUGAUUGCUGAUGGAGUUGCUAUGGCGACGUGGUGUGAGGAAACAGCAUAACACAGCCCGGUGUGGGGCUGAGGCCUGCAGGGGCCUUGGCCCCGCUUCUCUCCUCCUUCCUCUCUCACUGCUUUCCUUCCCUCAGAUGUGGUCUUCCUCGGCCCAGAACAGUCCCACUCCAAGCAGCGGGAGCCAUCAAGGCGGCUCGUUCCCCUCUUCUGCAGGGAACGUGUGAAGUCUGCUCCUCCAUAGGGCUGGAAGCAGCCUACUCUGUUCCCUGCAUCCCCCAUGCUGGGCCUGAGCGGGCCCAGGGCUUUGUUAUCCGGGCAGUGUGUGGGAUGGACUGGUUCCUCUGUCUCCUGACAGGUGACGCCUGGUUUUAAGAGAGGAAGAAGGCUUUGUUUCAUGUGCCAGCUCGUCUUCCUUUCUGGUGAAGCGAUGCUUCGUCACCAUGACGAGUCACUUCCCCUCCAUGAGUCAGAGAGGCUCUUGCAGGGUGCGUUGGGACCGACCGUUGGUGCCACGUUCGCUGUGCAGGAAGAGAAACCCAUGUUACCGUGCAGGGCUGGGGACCUGCCUGUAGAGCAGUGGCACCCACCUCUGCCCUUUGCAUUACCUAUGGCAAACCCUUUACUUCAAAGGCCCAGGUCACGGAGCUUGGAGUUUUGGUCUCAGCUUUCAUUGACAGAGUUAAGGUAGUCUUGGCAACUCCAUGAUCGUAGCGGAAGGAAGACGUAACCUCAACCACCAGAAAGCAGAAGGUGCACGGUAACCGCCCUGAAAUGACACUUAUCCUUUUAGAUCACCCUCUUAACUUUGCUUAGGGCUUGGCUAUGACACAUGAGUGCCUGAAGCUAGCAGUGCUGCGGAUGGGGAGCUCCUUCUGCUUUCUCUUCACUUCUCCCCUUUCUUGCCUCUGCUGUGGAUGCUCUCACUGUGUUGGUGUGCCUGCGUGUGUGCCCGGAGCUGUGAGCGCACACGUCUGUUCUUGUGCCUCUGUAGCUCCAUGUGCACGAAUGUGCUUGGGUUAGCCCAAGGUAUCUGCAGGCGUCUGCAUGGCAUGGGAGCAUGCAUUCCCCUUUCUCCUUCCUCUCAUUGGGGUCUCCUCCAGCUGAACCCCCCCACCCCAGAGCUUUCACCUUCCUGCACAGCAGUGGGCUACCACAGUGCCUCCUGCUUCUCCCUGCCUUUGUGCCCAUACCACAUUGGGCUGUGGUCUCCAGUAACUCAUGCUGACGCUCAAUAUCCAGAUGGCGCGGUUAGCAAGGCUGAGUGCAGUAAAUCUUCAUUACUGUUGCCAGUCUCGCCAUUCCUUGCUGUGGCUCUGACCAUCACCUCACCGCAGCUGAGUCAAUCGACCGCUCCGUGGGUUGCCAUCUCCUGUGUGACCCUGCUGCAGUUCACAGUAGAUGCCCAGUGGCUGGGUGCAGGGAUGAAGGCUAUCACCUCCUACCUCUCAGAGGGCUUGUUAAAUAAAGGCUUGAUUUUUUUGCUGCUUUCCAUUUGAACCCACCAGAGCCAUGGCAAACUGCAGAAUCUGCCCUUCCUGCUAACUCAUCUAUGUGCUUCCUGGUCUUCAGUGUUUGGAGGUGGUAGGCUGUGGAAUCAAUCUGUGGCUGCCUCCCUGUGCCUCAGUUUCCCAGCCUGUGCAACAGAGCCUGGGAAGCUGCUUCUCUCUCUUCCCCCAUCCUGGAGGGUCUUUGAACGUAAGCAUUUCUCUGUGCAGUCUGAAUGUUAAGGGUAGCUUGGCUAAGAGUUCACUUAAACCAAGGAUGGACAAAUAUCUGAAGGUCGUAAACACAGCUGAGUAAUUACUUAGAGUGGUCUAGGAGAUGUAACUAUGGAUAAUGGGAUAAAAGGAGGAGAGGAAAAUGUAGCAUAGUUAACAGAAAAUUCUCCCUGAUAUACCAUGCUUAGGGCUGCAGAAGGAAAACUGUAGGCCCUUGAUAAAUCUGAAGGGGUGGUUUAUGGAUUGAUACAAGAUACAAUGGCAGAGUCCCCAAGGAGAUGCAGUGAAUGGCCCGACUCCUGAGACUCUGCAAACUCUGCUUCGCAAAGCAGGUAGACCAUGGGAAGCGGAGCACUGGGGCGGGAGAUGAACUGUUCUACUGGCAGAUAUUGUUGGCAUGCGAUCAAAUGACUUUAAACUGCCUGUGAAUAAGCUUAGGGUGAGAACGGUGGAGCUGGUUUCUGAUGGAGGGAGGGAUGAGGCUCUGGGAUGGACCCACUGGAACAGGUGAGAAAUGCGAUGGCUUUGGAGAUGGAGAAGCUCAUGUGUAGGGUGAAACUGGCUGCUUGCAGGCAAUGAAUAUAGCAGCCUCCAGUCAGUCCUAAAUUCCUGUGCAAGGUGCUCUGGGAGGCUAGAGCCAUCGUUGUGUCCAGUGUUAUGCUACCAAUAAUAAACAGAGCUCGGAGAGCGCGGCAGUCUUCCUUGGCAAAGAUGCAGACAUUCUCCAAUGCAUCUGGAGAUUUUCUUCUUACCAUAGUGGAUGAUAUAUCUUGUAUUGCUAGGACCUCUAUCUAUAUUUAGUGAAAGUAAACCUCAAAAAAUUUCUCAUAUUGAUUUGAGGAAUGGGCCGAGUUGCCUAUGUGGCCAUUUCUACCUGAGUGUUUGUCAUCUUGGAAUUGACCCUGCAAGAUCACACGCACUGGGAUGGGAUCUUGUGAUGUGAUCUCCUUUUCUUCAAAAACUCCUAGAAAAACAAGAACAUGGUGUAGUAUCCAGGAAGCUGAGCAUCAUUUCUGGGGGCUCCUCUCUCCCUACAUGUCCCACAUCAAAUAUAAGAUGUGAGAUUUCUCUCCUUGGGCUCUCUCCGGACAUGCAGCUGAAAGAUGGCUUGGAAGGACAUGGGGAGAUCAAGGGUUGUGAGUGCAAGGACUGAGGCCAGGGACUGACACAGUCUUGGUGUCACAUUCAGCUUGUCAAACUCAAGUACAUGUGAAUGAUGGAGGGAUGGAGCUGCUGACUGCCCUGUUACCCCUGCUCAUGUGGCAGGACAGACAGACCCUGUGGGAAGCUGGACAUGGAGCAAGGUCACGCUUCUGGUUUUCCUGUCCUGCCUGCAGAGAGGGGCAUUGCCCCCGUGCUGCCACUCGCUGCCUGCUGGCACUUUGCUGCUUCCUGCUCGCAGCAGUGUUUUACAGGUUGCCCAGUAAUUCCUGGCUUCCUCAGUAGCAUGUGGGAUUUUAUCAGAGGCUUUAGGGCAAUCCUAACAAAUUAUAUCUACUGAUUUCCCUUUAUCCAUUGUUUUGUUGAUUCCACCGGAAAUCUCCCAGAGCAGGCGUGCACGCUUCGCCUUUCAGAAGCCUCCAGUUCGUUCCAUUUCCAUCGCGGCCAUUUAAUGUUUCAAUUAAUUUUUCUGGUAUUGAAUUAUUGUUCCGAGUAGCCCUCAAAAGGGGCGAGCAGAGGAGCAAAGCUGGCUGGGAUCUGGGUGUAGCCAUCGUAGUGUCCGCUCUUGGGUGCCAGGAGGGGAUGCUUUAGGUGGGAUGUUUGCAGAAGUGAUGUGUGUGCAGAGACAGCAUCCCUGCUCAGAGGAGCUGGGAAUAUCCUGGCAGUGUGAUGUCUAACAUGAUCCCCAAAAGCCCAGAUUGUUGCCAUGAAACACGGAUGCAGGAGCACGCUCGUCCCUGCGAUAGUUUAGCUGGCUGAGCACUGAGUUGCUCUGGCUUUGUCCUUGAAACCCAACGAGUGGGAGUUUGUGGCCAGGCUGGCUGCAGCGAUACGGAGCAACAAAACCAACCUGCGAAGGGUUAAUCAUUUCCAUUGCAAUUGUGUCAUCUCUUUGGGGACCUCUCGCUCAUUUUGCAAGCAGCCGCUGAAAGCCGAGGCGCGGGGGCUUUUUCUUAUUCAGCUGCACGCAGCUUCAGAAGCACUGGACAGCCGCACAGCUGUGCUCAGCCGCCUUGGCCUUGCAGAUGGAUGGAGAAAAGGAUUUGUGUGCGUGCGUGUGCUUGCGUGUGUGUGUGUGUGUGUGUGUGUCUGAAACCUAAUUGUCUGCUGUCUAAUCCGUCAGCCGGGGGGACAGCUUGCACAAGCCCCUUCCAGGCAGCCUGAUAAAUGCAGCGCUGCCAGGCCCCUUUGCGAUGUAGUUGGGUUUAAUUGGGAUUGCUACGUGCAUGGACUCUGCCUGUGCAAGGGAUGCUGCCUGUGGGGAUGCGUGCAGCCGCUGUCCCAAGGACUGGAGCUGCGCACCCAGCCUGGCUCCCGCUGGGGUCCUGGGAGCAGCGCAGUGACAGCGGGGUGACCCAGCACUUUGCAGUCCCACUGCUUCUGGGCUUUGAAACUUGCAUGGCUUCAGCAGCUCCCGAGGUGGUGCUGGAGAUACAGCAGGUUGCUGGGAUCGUGGGGUCUGGCUUGGGGGUGUCACCUGCUAUCUCCAGUGUCGUGCAAGGAAUGGUAGAGCAUCCUCACCGUGGAUCUGGGCAGGGGUGUGCCUCUCAAUCAUGCUCUCAGCCACAAGCACGUGGCAGCUCAGGGACUUGCCCAGCCAGAGUGGCGUUUUGUCUUUAAUACUCCUCUGUGGAUUUCCCAUGAAUUUGGUUGAUUUUUGUAAAUGCAUAAGCUUUAAUCCUCUCCAGAGAGCUGUGGCAAGGGCUUCCACUGCUUAACCACGUACCGUGUGAAGAGCCAUCUCCUCCUGUUCCUCUUGAAUCUGCUGCCUCUUAAUGUUAUUGGAUAUCUUCUGAUUCUUUUACUGGGAGAUGCAGUGAGCAAUUAAACUUGGUUUACCUUUUUGAGGCCCCAGAUGUGCCUCUCUAGUGGUUUGUUUUCCAGCUGAGGUCUUCCUCCUAUGGACUCACUGUUUGUUCAUCCUACUCUGGACUCUUCUCCAGCUCUGCUGGUGACAUCAGGACUCUGCAGGUGGUGACAUCCUCAUUCGUUAUAUAAUUAAGGGUGAUGUCAUGAUUACAGCAGAUGGGAUUUGCAUCAGCAUUGGUUGCUUAUUGCACAUUGAUGUCAGGAGACCGCUGUGUCUUGCCCAGUUAUGAGAACUUCUCUUGAAGCUGUUGAUCUUCAUUGUAGGGAGUCUAAAAUAAUAACAUUUUGCCUAUGAGUUCCCUGGCUGAAAGGGAUGGUGCCAAGCGGUUGUUUUUCAGGAAUCACUGUGCUUUGCAAGAUGUCCCUGACUCAAAUGAGCGAUGUGGCUCUGUCAUUUCAUGCCCCAGGUGCAGACACCUCAGGUUGGUACCCACCAACUCUUCCAUAAUAAAUGCACAUCAGGUUUCAGGGCAGGUGAUUCAAGGGAAUCACAUUUCCAGGCGAGGGAUUAUAGGACAGCAGACGGGCUACUUGUGUGGCAAUGCAAAUGGGUGCCCAAAUCUCCCCUGGGGCUGUAAUAGAACACCAUGGUGCUUCUGUACCCCAAACCUUCAGGAAGGACGUAGCCUGGUGCUGUGGGUCUGGGAGCAGGGAUGUGGGAGUAUGACAGCAUGUGGUGCACCCCUUCCCGUGGCUGCCCCAUUCCUCCUCCUCCCUCUCCCCUCUCCUUUGCCCUCUCUGUUCUUCUCUUUCUCUCCACACCUGCUCCUCUCUUUCCCUCCCCUUUUCUCUUUCCCUCUCCUCCUCCCCUUGCCUUUCUCUCCAUCCUCUUAUCUCAUCCCCCUUGUUUUUCUCCUCGCUGCCUGUCCGGCUGAUUUACAUGCAUGCUGCGUUGAAGCAGCUCAGCUGGAUCUAAUGCCUCCUGCCGCGAGGAGCAGAGCCGGCUCUGGCCUCGGUGCGGCACUUCCCGGGCGAGGGAGGGAGCACUCUGCACCCCCACACCUUGGCCCAUGCUUUGGCCCCUUCCCACAUUGCCUUCUGCUCUUCAUCCUCUCCCCUUCCAGCCCAUUUAUCCAGUGCUUCACUCCUGCUUUCACCACUUCUCCUGCCCAAGUCCUUGAUCCACGUGCCUGCAUCUCCUGCAGCAUCCCACGCACCAAGCAAACUUCCCCAUGAGACUGCUGCUUCUUGGGUGGGUGCAAGAGGAGGGGCCACAAAUCUGGGCUGACUGGGGGCAUUGUGCUCAAGCUGCCGUCGCCUUGGGGACUCAAUGCUGAAUGUCCCAGGUGGAGCCCAUCCUUUCCCAGCGCAUUUUUCCUCCACCCUCGUGUCCGUGCGCGGAGUAGGGAUCGAAGUGCCCACAUUAAUCGCUGGCUGUAAUCAUUCCCAUUUCCAUUUGGCUGAUUUGCAUUUCCGUGAGAGGAAGAUGCCCUGAUUAAUAUCCCCUCAGAAGAGCUUUAUUGCAAUGGCUCCUGCCUCUCUAAUUGGAAAGUGGUCUUAACCUUUCAUGCAAGUGGCUGGGACGUUCCCUGCCUGUCAACACCCUGGGAAGGUCUCACUUGUCCUGAGCCUGCGGGCAGUGGGAGGCUUGGAGGCUCUGACUGCACCAAAGCAGGGCAGAGCCCCUCUCCCCGAGGAGGAUGCUCAGGAGAGGAGCCCACCUUCAGACAGCAGUUGUGUCAAUAGAACCUGCAAAGGGGACCAAUGCUGGGAUGAUCCCAAACCAGUGAGCACCCAGCCAGCCGUGAGCGAGCAGCUUGGUGCUUCUGAGCUCACAUCUGUGUGCUAAUUAACAACCCAUGGAGGAGUGUGUUCCUGUGAUGUCGGCAGAGCUGUUCCCGUUCAGUGUGCAGCACGGAGGCAGGAUCCGACCCCACAGCUGGGAUCCUGCAGCUCGCGCUCCCCGGGGAGUCCCAGGCCCACCACUAACCAGCUUGAAAGCCUGCCUCGCACUUAGCUGCUUUCUGAUCUUCAAAGGCUCUGGAUGCCCAAGGAAAUCAGACCUCGUGGCUUUUCUUGCAGUGCAGUCCCCAGAUCCGACUCUCGUGCAAUUCAUUAUCCUGCCCUGUGCAGGGGGAGCACGCGCUGCUCUGAGGCUCUUCCUUGGGUGCCAGUCACAGUGCAGAGCAGCUCUCCUUGCCCACCGCCCUGAUGUGCUGAAGGCAAAGUGUCCAGAUGAGCACAGCCAACUUUGUCCCUCCCUGCUGACUUCCCAACACUGUACAGAGCUGCUUUGUUAAGACCCCAACCUGCCUCCCAGGCGCUUUUACCUCCCUUACUCCCUUUUACCUCCUUUAUUCUCUCCUUCUGAGGUUACAGAAGUGAUUUUAAUUAUUAUUAUUUAUUUUUAAUUUUGGUAUUUAAGCGGGUUUAGCGGCUGCAGCAAUGAGUGUUCCUGAUAAACAGCCGGGGAGAUUCAGGGAAUAAUCUCUGCUUGGUGACAGCAGAGGUGCCUAUUGCAGUUGCUGGCAGCACGCAAAGAGCUGCCCUCAUCCCUGCGUGCUCCACAGCCCAGGGAAGGGAAGGAUUGCCUCCAUCCUUAAUCACUGAAUCUGAAAUCCUAGCACCUGCUAUUCCUCAGAAAUCUAGGGCUGGUUUUAGCCUCUAAGAGAAAGGGCAGUCAUUCCUAUCCCCACCCAACCCUUUGCAUACUCCCAUCUGUGGGGCCAUGGGAUGAUCUGGGGCCAAGGAGAUACUUUUUUAAGGUGAAUAUUUGAUGAGAAGUCUGUCCCAAACCUGCAUGUGCACCAACUGCUUCUCCUGUGCCGUGGGGGGAGCUUUGUGCAGGGCUUUGCCAUGUGGGUCGGGGAGAAAUAGGCAGCUCUUGGGAGGGGAGCAGGUGCUGAAGAAGGGAGUUGGGAUGGGCUGGUGAGCAGCAGCUCAUCUCCUUUCACCAGGGGCUCAUACACAGAAUAGAAUUAUUGAGGUUGGAAAAGACCUCUAAGUUCUCCAACCCACCCCACCAUGCUAACUGACACGUCCUUCCGUGUCACACCUCCACGGGUCUGGGGCCCCUCUGGGGAUGGUGACUCAACCUCUCCCUGUGCAGCCUGUGCCAGUGCAGCACUGUUCUUUCAGGGAAGAAAUGUUUCCUAACAUCCUGAACCUCCCCAGCACAGCUUAAGGCCAUUACCUCUUGUCCUACCUCCAUGCUGUGGGCACAGGCUGUGCUCUGAAGGUUCAUGUAGCACUGUCCUGAGUUGUGUCUGCAUUGAAAUGGAUCCUUGUUGGGGCAGUAAAAAGUGCAGAUGGGAGGAUGUGGGAACGCAGGGAAGAGCCAGAGAUGCUUUGUUCUUGCCUCAAAUACACAUCAGUGAGAAAAACAUUCAACUUGUCCCCCUGAUGUAGACCAGGUCAAGUAGAGGAGCUGGGUUUUUGCUGUAGGAAUAAUCAGCAAGGUUCACCCAGCCUUACACAGACAGUAGAGGCUGGUGUUGGAGUUUCUGGAGACUCCAAAGGGAGAGAUGGGGCAAAAUCAAAAUCCCAGGAAAUAACUUCCCCCCUGCACCCCAUGGGAUGCUGAUGGGAAUGGCACUGCCUGAAGCAGAGCUGCCGUGGUCCAGCCCUGCCCGGGGCCUUGGAACUCACAGAAACUUUCCACUGAGUUCAGAGCAUCUGUAAAACUCCUGCUCUGGUUCAGGGGGAGGGAAGGGGCUGCAGCUUCAGCCAGGUCUGUUCUCGAGCACGGAGUGUUUAACAUAAAACACCUCCUGUUUCUGAGCAAAAACGCUCAGGCGUUGACUACCAACGUGAGCAGCAUUGCUCAAGCAAAUGGUGUUUACACCCCGAAGCCUUCAGACUUUCUAGAUUUCACCUGCUUCUCUGCAGAAACCCCUUGAGAAAACGCUACCAAACAAGGCAAUACCGGGGUGGAUAAAUUGCCUGGAACAAAUGAGCUGGAAUUCAUACGAGCCCAUUCCUCAUGGAAGAGAGGUGUCACUCCGGCAGUACCUGGGGGAAGUGCCCGCCUCGCAGAGCACGACCCCGCUCUGUCCGCAGCUGCUGUCCCUGCUUGGGGCUGAACGCGAUGGCAGCAAACAUGCGGCGCGCACGGCUUGCGCUGUCUCUUCUCAGGUGGGAAUUGUAAACAGCAGCAAAGCAAGUUUUCUGCUUUUCUCCUUUCGUGGAGGGAAGGGGGGUUUUGCGAGUGCUUCGGCAUCAGCUGCAGAGAUGGGAUGUUGAGAGGGAGGGUUGGGGCUGGGUGCUGCUGCAGGAGCUGAUCGCAGCGCUGGAGGCGUUCUGGGACGUGUACCCUCCAGCCGUCGUUGCUUGUCCCUCUCAUCCUGU